ACCACAUUGAUGGUGCUGGUUGUUUGCAGCAUGGGACUCUUAAUCUCAGGGUUGUGGGUUCGAGCCCCACAUUGGGUA